UACGUAGGGUGCAAGCGUUAAUCGGAUUACUGGGCGUAAAGCGCGCGUAGGCGGCUUUGUAAGUUAGAGGUGAAAGCCCGGAGCUCAACUCCGGAACUGCCUUUAAAGCUGCAUCGCUUGAAUCCAGGAGAGGUGAGUGGAAUUCCGAGUGUAGAGGUGAAAUUCGUAGAUAUUCGGAAGAACACCAGUGGCGAAGGCGGCUCACUGGACUGGUAUUGACGCUGAGGUGCGAAAGCGUGGGGGAGCAAACAGGAUUAAGAAACCCCGGUAGUACCCAGGA
rnacentral:rRNA from 1 species